CUUUGUAGCUUUUCAGCAAACGCAGACGUAAGCAUGGCAUUGAACUCUUCACUUGGAAUGGUCUUUUGCAAAUCCGUUGUAACUUUUAAAGCUGCUGCAUGGUCCUCUUGUGUGAGAGUGCCCAGGUAUGCCUGCCAGCGCAAUCUCUGCAGUGUUUCGAUCAGGAGCUUGUGUGCCCGUAUGCUCCUGUUGUAGUGAUGGCCUGAGAUAACAUCAAUAGAACCUGCAGCCACAACUUCAGAUUCAAUCAAGACAUCCUGUUAGCCUGCAUCAGCAAAAAGCUUCCCAAUACAGGAAAGAUAUGCCAUAGCUGUGUGAAACUCUCCCAUCCUUAUUACAAGUCUCUCUGAGAAAGUGCUUGUCUGCCAACGUAUCUCUUGGGCCUUAGCAUAUAUGGCUUGAUCCAUAACUAUCACUAUUUCUUGUCAGCAAUAGCAGUGGAUCGGCUCAGGGUGGUGUGGACAGUGUGAUCUGUUGGGCUAGCAUCGAUGACAGGAAGAAUGCAGCAUCAGUUCUCCUUCCAGUGGUUUGGGCAUCUCUGUAUUUGUCCUGCUGGAGAUCUAUCUUGAGCACUACAUUCUGUGGACCGGACCUCCUUCCUCUUGUGUGAGCAAGGGCUGUAUCAUGCUCAAGAACCUGGGAGUUAGAUGAGCAGUGGCCAAGACCAUUCAACAACCCUAUGAGCUGUGCUGAGUCUGUCUUAUGCCAAACUGCCAUUGCAAGAGAGCACUGUUUUGGCAUGACCCACCGUCCUUUGGUCACCAUGAUGAGGAGGAAGAGGAGGAAGUGACAACUUCAUGAAUGAUCUCUUCAGCUGUCAGAUCAUCAACAUACACAAGAUAUUUUAUGCCUUUUGAAAUCUCAAGAAAGGAUGUGACUUUUGAAGUCUUGCCUUGAGUACCGUGUGUAGUCUCUGAAACAGAAGUGGUACCGUGUCUCACUAGCCACUAGGUCCCUGUCACAAAUGUGUAGAAGCAGACUCUCAUCCUGUCUUUCUUCAGCAGCAAGAAGUAACUUCCCUGCAUGUUCACUCCAGCUAAAUGGGCAAAUGACUCCCUCCUACGAUGGAAUCAAGUGGG